rnacentral:rRNA from 1 species
UACGUAGGGUGCAAGCGUUGUCCGGAAUUAUUGGGCGUAAAGAGCUCGUAGGCGGUCUGUCACGUCGGACGUGAAAAUCCAGGGCUCAACCCUGGACCUGCGUUCGAUACGGGCAGACUAGAGUUCGGUAGGGGAGACUGGAAUUCCUGGUGUAGCGGUGAAAUGCGCAGAUAUCAGGAGGAACACCAGUGCGAAGGCACGCGUCACUGGACGGAUUGACGCUGAGACGACGAAGCGUGGGGAGGCAAACAGG